GCAACGUAAGCAAUAAAACGCGUUUAUUUAUGCGCUUCAUGCCGAAACGGCGAAUCGAUAUUUUGUGUGAAUUCUCGCGGAAAAAGGACGGCACCCUCAUGCAAUGGCUUCCGUUGUAUCAAUUUUCCGCGUGGCUCAGCUUCGUCUUCAUUCGUGCGGUUUUGCGUUGUAUAAAUCAAAGAGAACAUUCAGCAAACAUAAUUCUGCAAACAAAGAAAGCACCGCCUGAGAACAUUUGCUGCGUUCAUUCCCUCUCGCGACGGCGCGUCUCGCGCGACAGAAUCUCUUCCAUUAUCUCGCGCGCCUCUCUCCUGCAUCAAUGCAUGACGUCAUAAGUGACGAGAGGAAAGAACAGCGGAGGAGCGCGGCACGAAUGCGGUGGAUGAAAAGUCAAGAGGGAGAAACGCAUGGCACUAGGAAGAGACGGAUCGGAGGGGUGGCGAGAAGAACGGGAUGACGCGAGAAGAGGUGUGCGGUGAAGGAGGGGUGACUUCACAACGGGAAGGCGGAUGAAACGUAGUUGAUUCGAAGGGAAACAUAUGCCGAGAAUCCAAAAGAGAGGUAGACGUCGCGACGCCUUGGAUCGAUCGGAGUGUGCGCUCAACUCCAGACCAACAUGGACCGGAUUUACGGGGCUGAAUUGAGUGGAAAAACGAGAACACGAAAGGAACAAAGCUGUCUGGAGUGGCGUAGGCAGGUUGGCUGAAAAGCGCAAGAUGAGCUACCGCGAUGUCUCAAGAAUCCAAUGGCGUUACUCCGACGGACAAAAAGCAGGAUGUUCUUUUUUGAAAAAAACCAUACUAUUAUGAGAUCUCUAAUAUUCAAAUUCAUAAAUGGUUAUUGAAUUAUAAAUUAUCUAUUUACGAAUACGUACACGUACUUAAUAUUACAAAAAACAAUUGUCUUAAUUAUCUUCACUAUAAUACAAAAC